UCACAGGCCCUUUUUUCUUCAGGUCCCUUAUGACUGUCGCUUUUAGUUAUGAGCCGGGAAACUCCGAGCGAAGCAGCACCAAAUGAUAUGAUUGCUCUGCCGGAUGGAAUCUGAUCUGACGCCGCUUUUUCCGCCUAAUAGACGAUGAGGAAGAUUGGCGCGUGGCCCGUCACAACACUAGAAGAGUUCCAUUACACUUCCUAGACUGUCAAAGGAUCGGCUACACCAAGGAUCUGCUGAAUCACUGGAGGAUUUGGAUUCUGGUCAGUGAAGGCAAAAGGAGAAAUUGGAAGGUUGUUUGGACGCAUGACCCUUUACUGAAGACACCGCCGGGAACCGUCUGUUGUUAACAAAUACAGUAAAACCUUGGUUUGAGAGUAACUUGGUUUGAGAGCGUUUUGCA